AGAAUCAACGCUGGCGGCGUGCCUAACACAUGCAAGUCGCACGAGAAAGUGGAGCAAUCCACGAGUAAAGUGGCGCACGGGUGAGUAACACGUGAAUAAUCUACCUCCGAGUGGGGAAUAACUGAGAGAAAUCUUAGCUAAUACCGCAUAACACUUACGAGUCAAAGCAGCAAUGCGCUUGGAGAGGAGUUCGCGGCCGAUUAGUUAGUUGGCGGGGUAAUGGCCCACCAAGACGAUGAUCGGUAUCCGGCCUGAGAGGGCGCACGGACACACUGGAACUGAAACACGGUCCAGACUCCUACGGGAGGCAGCAGUGGGGAAUUUUGCGCAAUGGGGAAACCCUGACGCAGCAACGCCGCGUGGAGGAUGAAAUAUCUUGGUAUGUAAACUCCUUUCGAUGGGGAAGAUAAUGACGGUACCAUAGAAGAAGCCCCGGCUAACUUCGUGCCAGCAGCCGC
rnacentral:rRNA from 1 species